rnacentral:rRNA from 1 species
UGCCAGCCGCCGCGGUAAUACGGAGGGUGCGAGCGUUAAACAGAAUUAUUGGGCGUAAAGAGCUCGUAGGCGGUUCGGUAAGUCAGAUGUGAAAACUCAAGGCUCAACCUUGAGACGCCACCUGAUACUGCCGUGACUUGAGUCCGGUAGAGGAGCGUGGAAUUCCUGGUGUAGCGGUGAAAUGCGCAGAUAUCAGGAGGGACACCAACGGCGAAGGCAGCGCUCUGGGCCGGUACUGACGCUGAGGAGCGAAAGCGUGGGGAGCAAACAGGAUUAGAUA